rnacentral:sRNA from 1 species
CAGGACAAGUACAGCACAGGCAGCGACAGUGCGAGGUUUCCCCACACCACCCCGUCCAUGUAUCUCAACCCUGACCUGGAGGGACCACCUCUAGA